AGGAACCACCACAUUUCUUUCAGCUUUUCAAGGCCCCACCACAAUGAAUACCACAUCAGCUAUUGCACAAAAGCCUUUCAGAGUUGUUGGACUGAAAGUGUUAUUUAGCACAAAUGUGGAUCUAACAGAUGCAAGCUUCAAACUAAUUUUGCAGCAAGUGAAAAACCAGCUGGUCUAUUAUGGUCUUGGAAGCAACAUAGUUCUGACAUCAAGAGACCUGCGAAAGAUUGUUAUCUAACAUAUUAUUAGAGUCUUUCAGGAAAAGAAAAGUGAAAAACUCUCUUAAACAUGAUCGUUUAAUAGUUUAAAUCUUUAAACAGGACAUGCAACCCAAUGCAAAUCACCAAUAUUUACAAUUCAAUUCGAUGUAUAAUAAAUGUGUACUGAACUGUAAAUGUAAAUCUCACCUCAGGCUCCUGCAAGCCUCUUAUCCUCUCUGUCCCCCUGUGAAUAAAAACAGAUGAUUUUAGGUGUUUAAAUAGAAUAUCGAAAUAUAUCUAAAUACAUAUCUAUUUAACAGUUUUGGUGUAUUUUUUAUGGUUGUAUGUACAUGGAUGCAUAUAAAAACUAUAGCUGGUUUCAUUAUUUAGAAUUUUUUCGAUAAGGAUAUUACUGUUAAUAUUGUCAUCGGUGACCUGUCAGUUAUGAACAAUAGUAAUAAAAGUAGGGCAGCACAGUGGCUCAGUGGUUAGCAUUGUCGCCUCACAGCAGGAAGGGUGAUAGUUCAAGUACCGGUGGGGUCAGU